rnacentral:rRNA from 1 species
AGAUUAAGUUAUUAAGGGCGCACGGUGGAUGCCUUGGCACUAGAAGCCGAUGAAGGACGUUACUAACGACGAUAUGCUUUGGGUAGCUGUAAGUAAGCGUUGAUCCAGAGAUUUCCGAAUGGGGGAACCCAGCAUGAGUUAUGUCAUGUUAUCGACAUGUGAAUUCAUAGCAUGUCAGAAGGCAGACCCGGAGAACUGAAACAUCUUAGUACCCGGAGGAAGAGAAAGAAAAAUCGAUUCCCUGAGUAGCGGCGAGCGAAACGGGAAGAGCCCAAACCAACAAGCUUGCUUGUUGGGGUUGUAGGACACUCUAUACGGAGUUACAAAAGAACAUGUUAGACGAAUCAUCUGGAAAGAUGAAUCAAAGAAGGUAAUAAUCCUGUAGUCGAAAACAUAUUCUCUCUUGAGUGGAUCCUGAGUACGACGGAGCACGUGAAAUUCCGUCGGAAUCUGGGAGGACCAUCUCCUAAGGCUAAAUACUCUCUAGUGACCGAUAGUGAACCAGUACCGUGAGGGAAAGGUGAAAAGUACCCCGGAAGGGGAGUGAAAGAGAACUUGAAACCGUGUGCUUACAAGUAGUCAGAGCCCGUUAAUGGGUGAUGGCGUGCCUUUUGUAGAAUGAACCGGCGAGUUACGAUCUGAUGCAAGGUUAAGCAGCAAAUGUGGAGCCGCAGCGAAAGCGAGUCUGAAUAGGGCGUUGAGUAUUUGGUCGUAGACCCGAAACCAGGUGAUCUACCCUUGGUCAGGUUGAAGUUCAGGUAACACUGAAUGGAGGACCGAACCGACUUACGUUGAAAAGUGAGCGGAUGAACUGAGGGUAGCGGAGAAAUUCCAAUCGAACUUGGAGAUAGCUGGUUCUCUCCGAAAUAGCUUUAGGGCUAGCCUCAAGUGAUGAUUAUUGGAGGUAGAGCACUGUUUGGACGAGGGGCCCCU